rnacentral:lncRNA from 1 species
GGGCGUCCGAGAAAUGUCAACAGGUGUUUUGCCAGACAAGCUUGGGCGUUUCUAAUGUUCCCCAAGUUCCCAUAAGUGUGUUUCUAUUAGUUGUCGUCCGGCAUCAAUGAUAAGAUAAUGAUCGACAUCGUAAAACGUUGGUUUCUCAACUUAUGUAAAAUGUAAUAAAAAUCAUGACCGCAUGCUUUGUUUUCAAUUGUACUGAACAGUUCGACCCUAGAAAAUACUGUCCUAAAUAAUGCGGCCACUAACUUAUCCGCAUGCACCAUGUGCCGAUUAAUAAAG